UUGUUAGUUGCCAUCAUUUAGUUGGGCACUCUAGCGAGACUGCCGGUGACAAACCGGAGGAAGGUGGGGAUGACGUCAAAUCAUCAUGCCCCUUAUGACCUGGGCUACACACGUGCUACAAUGGGAAGUACAACGAGUUGCGAAGUCGCGAGGCUAAGCUAAUCUCUUAAAGCUUCUCUCAGUUCGGAUUGUAGGCUGCAACUCGCCUACAUGAAGCCGGAAUCGCUAGUAAUCGCGGAUCAGCACGCCGCGGUGAAUACGUUCCCGGGCCUUGUACACACCGCCCGUCACACCACGAGAGUUUGUAACACCCGAAGUCGGUGAGGUAACCUUUUUGGAGCCAGCCGCCUAAGGUGGGAUAGAUGAUUGGGGUGAAGUCGUAACAAGGUAGCCGUAUCGGAAGG
rnacentral:rRNA from 1 species